CGCAGUCUGCAACUCGACUGCGUGAAGGUGGAGUCGCUAGUAAUCGCGGAUCAGCAACGCCGCGGUGAAUGCGUUCCCGGGCCUUGUACACACCGCCCGUCAAGUCAUGAAAGUGGGCAGCACCCGAAGACGGUGGCCUAACCUUUGUGGGGGAGCCGUCUAAGGUGAGGCUCGUGAUUGGGACUAAGUCGUAACAAGGUAAC
rnacentral:rRNA from 1 species